rnacentral:rRNA from 1 species
CCUGGCUCAGGAUGAACGCUAGCUACAGGCUUAACACAUGCAAGUCGAGGGGCAGCAUAUCGAAGCUUGCUUGAUAGAUGGCGACCGGCGCACGGGUGAGUAACGCGUAUCCAACCUUCCCAUCACUCAGGGAUAGCCCGCCGAAAGGCGAAUUAAUACCUGAUGGUCUCCUUUGCAGACAUCUAACGAGGAGUAAAGAUUCAUUGGUGAUGGAUGGGGAUGCGUCUGAUUAGGUAGUAGGCGGGGUAACGGCCCACCUAGCCGACGAUCAGUAGGGGUUCUGAGAGGAAGGUCCCCCACAUUGGAACUGAGACACGGUCCAAACUCCUACGGGAGGCAGCAGUGAGGAAUAUUGGUCAAUGGACGGAAGUCUGAACCAGCCAAGUAGCGUGCAAGGAUGACGGCCCUAUGGGUUGUAAACUGCUUUUGUGCGGGAAUAAAGUAUGGGACGUGUCCCAUUUUGCAUGUACCGCACGAAUAAGGACCGGCUAAUUCCGUGCCAGCAGCCGC